UAGGGAAUCUUACGCAAUGGACGCAAGUCUGACGGAGCAACGCCGCGUGAGUGAAGAAGGAUUUCGGUUCGUAAAACUCUGUUGUUAGAGAAGAACAGCGCAUAGAGUAACUGUUAUGCGUGUGACGGUAUCUAACCAGAAAGCCACGGCUAACUACGUGCCAGCAGCCGCGGUAAUACGUAGGUGGCAAGCGUUGUCCGGAUUUAUUGGGCGUAAAGCGAGCGCAGGCGGUCAAUUAAGUCUGAUGUGAAAGCCCCCGGCUCAACCGGGGAGGGUCAUUGGAAACUGGUUGACUUGAGUGCAGAAGAGGAGAGUGGAAUUCCAUGUGUAGCGGUGAAAUGCGUAGAUAUAUGGAGGAACACCAGUGGCGAAGGCGACUCUCUGGUCUGUAACUGACGCUGAGGUUCGAAAGCGUGGGUAGCAAACAGG
rnacentral:rRNA from 1 species